AGGAAUAGUCAUAUAUUCAUUCAUUCAUUCAUUUAUUCAUAUUCAUUCAUUCAGCUCCAGUGGGACCAUCGCAGCUUCAAACUUAAAAGCUGGAUCUGGAGGUGAGCAGUUUUAGACAUGGUUUUGGUGAAUCAUGAUUUUUUUUGAGCUCCGUUUUUGAUCUGUAGACACUGAAAUCCCAACCUGGUCUCUUCUGGGCGCUGAGCGAGUUCAAGGAAGUUCAGGGAAGACACAAGCUGCAAAAGGUCGAUCCCGCCCCCUCAGUAUUUUCAGAAACUGUUUUUAAACGUGAAGGCCAAGAUUUCGUUUGACCUUGGCUCACCCUGCACCUUCUCAAUACGGAACCCCAUAAUAUUCUGCUUGCUUUGUGUAAAUGACUUAACAGGUAUGGCAUUUACAAUUUGUACGGAAGGGUUCUGGCAAUAACUCAGUCGCCACAAGCCGCUGAAAGGCCAUCACAGAUUUAGAGGGAGGUUUCCCGGAGGGCUCCACGGUAGGGGAAGUGACCUAAGGGGACGCGUUAGUGGGGAAGUCCUUUCCCCCUUUCAACGGACAAGUGACCUGAGCGUACACCCCAGACCUGGCUGCCCACGCAGAGCCUCACGGAGCUCGACCCGGGGACAGUUACGCUCAACUCUGCCAGUAAACACGUGCAAGGCCUAGCUGGGUUGCCGUGGGCUCCAAUGGACUCAAGAGGAGGAGGGCGAUCGCCUCGCCAUUUCCUGGAAGCCGCGAAACUGUCAGGCCGCAGGGCGUGUCGGGAAGAGCCGCUCAGAAACCGGAAGAACUGCUUUUUAUCCGACGAGGAUUAGAUUCUAUUUCUUUGUCCUCUGGGAUGUUUCACAAGUCCACGGCUGGCCUUUCCGAAGAAUUAAUUGAAAAGGAAAUGGCAGAUACGAUUAGGCUGCUGCACUCGGUAAAAUGACAGAGGCCAGGCUCGGUGGCACCCUCGGCCAGCAGAGACAGCUGCCAAUGAAUUAUGCUGCUCUGUGGUUAUUAAGACUUCAUGUUACACCAGUGAAUUGAAAAGACGUACGUCAGAUCCAACGCCUCCAAAAUUUAGCAUGUCUUCCAGCCCUCGACCACAAUGCCCUCCUUCCCAGACUCCUCCUGUGGAUGGACAGUUUUUCAUAGUCUGUGAAACUAGAAAUGGUCUUGCUUCCUUUGCCUCCCACCUCCAAUCAAAAGCCAGUUCUUGUUAAUGCUAUCUCAAAUGACUUCAUCUCCUUCACUUCUCACAUCUGGUAAGUAGUCACAUCCUGUCUAUGCCAUGUCUAAAAUGUUCCCAAGUCCUCCCUUCCUUCUCCAUUCUAUUUUCUGUUGCCCUUUUCUGACCUCAUCACCUAUUGCAUCAACCAGCUAACUGGCCUCCUUGCCUCCUUCCCUCUUCAUUCCAUCCUAUACAUAGCUACCAGAGUAGUUUUUCUAAAACACAAAUUUAAUAGCAAUGGUCCUUUGCUGAAAAAGCAGUGGCUCCUGCAGCAUAGACUGCCAGCAGCCCCAUUUUCUGGCUACACUGCUUCUCUAUCUGCAGGGUAAUUUAGGUGUGCUAUGUGUUUUGCUCAUCAAGCACACCAUACACUUCCAUGGCCCACGUUUGUUUGUCUUCCUAUAAUGCCCUUCCUGCCUUUUCUACUUGUUUGGCUUAUACCAAUCCCUCAAGCUCCAGCUCCAUUAGAAAGACCUAGUAUAAUAUAUUUAGAACACAGUAGGACUUUAAUAAAUAUUUUUGGGGCUGAAUUCAAUGAAAAAGAAAACACAAAAACCUUGAGGUACAAAUAAAAAUGGGGGAUCAUUUUGUGAGCUGAGAAAUAUAAUUGAAUUUAAGU